rnacentral:rRNA from 1 species
GACGGAGGGUGCAAGCGUUGUUCGGAAUUACUGGGCGUAAAGCGUACGUAGGUGGCGGAUUAAGUCGAAUGUUAAAGCCUGAGGCUCAACCUCAGAGAUGCAUUCGAUACUGGUUUGCUAGAGGGUGAUAGAGGAAAGCGGAAUUCCCAGUGUAGCGGUGAAAUGCGUAGAUAUUGGGAGGAACAUCAGUAGCGAAGGCGGCUUUCUGGGUCACACCUGACACUGAGGUACGAAAGCGUGGGGAGCAAACGGG